UACAGAGGUCCCAAGCGUUGUUCGGAUUCACUGGGCGUAAAGGGUGCGCAGGCGGCCGAGUGUGUGAGGCGUGAAAGCCCGGGGCUUAACCCCGGAAUUGCACCUCAAACUACACGGCUAGAGCAUUGGAGAGGGUAGCAGAAUUCAUGGUGUAGCAGUGAAAUGCGUAGAUAUCAUGAGGAAUACCAGAGGCGAAGGCGGCUACCUGGACAAUUGCUGACGCUCAGGCACGAAAGCGUGGGGAGCAAAAGGG
rnacentral:rRNA from 1 species